AUUGAAACACCAAUUCCCAUAUGAUCACCAAAGUUAAGCAAUGUUGUGCCUAGUGAGUACCUAGAUGGGUGACUACUUGGGAAUAGCAGGUGCU